UACGUAGGUGGCGAGCGUUGUCCGGAUUUACUGGGCGUAAAGGGAGCGUAGGCGGACUUUUAAGUGAGAUGUGAAAUACCCGGGCUCAACUUGGGUGCUGCAUUUCAAACUGGAAGUCUAGAGUGCAGGAGAGGAGAAUGGAAUUCCUAGUGUAGCGGUGAAAUGCGUAGAUAUUAGGAGGAACACCAGUGGCGAAGGCGGCUUUCUAGACAGUAACUGACGCUGAGGCGCGAAAGCGUGGGGAGCAAACAGGAUUAGAUACCCUGGUA
rnacentral:rRNA from 1 species